AUUGAACGCUGGCGGCAGGCUUAACACAUGCAAGUCGAGCGGGGUGAUGGUGCUUGCACUAUCACUUAGCGGCGGACGGGUGAGUAAUGCUUAGGAAUCUGCCUAUUAGUGGGGGACAACAUCUCGAAAGGGAUGCUAAUACCGCAUACGUCCUACGGGAGAAAGCAGGGGAUCCCUUGUGACCUUGCGCUAAUAGAUGAGCCUAAGUCGGAUUAGCUAGUUGGUGGGGUAAAGGCCUACCAAGGCGACGAUCCGUAGCGGGUCUGAGAGGAUGAUCCGCCACACUGGGACUGAGACACGGCCCAGACUCCUACGGGAGGCAGCAGUGGGGAAUAUUGGACAAUGGGGGGAACCCUGAUCAGCCAUGCCGCGUGUGUGAAGAAGGCCUUAUGGUUGUAAAGCACUUUAAGCGAGGAGGAGGCUCUUUUGGUUAAUACCCAAGAUGAGUGGACGUUACUCGCAGAAUAAGCACCGGCUAACUCUGUGCCAGCCGCCGCGGUAA
rnacentral:rRNA from 1 species